rnacentral:lncRNA from 1 species
GGUGCUUCUUGGUCAUACCAGGAUAAAUUAUGUCUGAAUUUUGUACAUUGAAGGCAACGGCACCGAGCUAAAAUUUUAACUUUAUAUUCAUGCAAGCAUUUUGCGUUUCUAUACGCACGCUUGAAUUUAUUGUAGGAAAUUAGAGGAUCACUUAAUAAUGAUAAUGGAAGUCUACCUCUUAUUGCCCAAUCUUUUGCAAUAUUUGGGAAAUGUAAAAUCAAUAAACAAUGAAUAAACGGUAAGAACAAUUGGAUAUUAUGGAU